rfam:TPA: Bos taurus chromosome 14, whole genome shotgun sequence.
UCCCUGGCAGUCCAGAGGUUAAGACACUGCUUUUCCAAUGCAGGGGACACAGGUCUGAUCCCUGGUCGGGGAA